rnacentral:rRNA from 1 species
GACGAACGCUGGCGGCGUGCUUAACACAUGCAAGUCGAACGGUAAGGCCCUUCGGGGUACACGAGUGGCGAACAGGUGAGUAACACGUGGGUGAUCUGCCCUGCACUUCGGGAUAAGCCUGGGAAACUGGGUCUAAUACCGGAUAGGACUCCUGGCUUCAUGGUUGGGGGUGUAAAGCUUUUGCGGUGUGGGAUGGGCCCGCGGCCUAUCAGCUUGUUGGUGGGGUAAUGGCCUACCAAGGCGACGACGGGUAGCCGGCCUGAGAGGGUGACCGGCCACACUGGGACUGAGAUACGGCCCAGACUCCUACGGGAGGCAGCAGUGGGGAAUAUUGCACAAUGGGCGCAAGCCUGAUGCAGCGACGCCGCGUGAGGGAUGACGGCCUCGGUUGGUAACCUCUUUCAAUAGGACGAAGCGCAAGUGACGGUACCUAU